GCAAGUCGAGCGCUCACCUUCGGGUGGGAGCGGCGGACGGGUUAGUAACGCGUGGGUAUAUACCCUUCUCUACGGAAUAGCCUCGGGAAACUGAGAGUAAUACCGUAUACGCCCUUCGGGGGAAAGAUGGAUCGGAGAAGGAUGAGCCCGCGUUGGAUUAGAUAGUUGGUGGGGUAAUGGCCUACCAAGUCUACGAUCCAUAGCUGGUUUGAGAGGAUGAGC
rnacentral:rRNA from 1 species